GACGAGCGCUGGCGGCGUGCUUAACACAUGCAAGUCGAACGGAAAGGCCCUGCUUUUGUGGGGUGCUCGAGUGGCGAACGGGCGAGUAACACGUGAGUAACCUGCCCUUGACUUUGGGAUAACUUCAGGAAACUGGGGCUAAUACCGGAUAGGAGCUCCUGCUGCAUGGUGGGGGUUGGAAAGUUUCGGCGGUUGGGGAUGGACUCGCGGCUUAUCAGCUUGUUGGUGGGGUAGUGGCUUACCAAGGCUUUGACGGGUAGCCGGCCUGAGAGGGUGACCGGCCACAUUGGGACUGAGAUACGGCCCAGACUCCUACGGGAGGCAGCAGUGGGGAAUAUUGCACAAUGGGCGGAAGCCUGAUGCAGCAACGCCGCGUGCGGGAUGACGGCCUUCGGGUUGUAAACCGCUUUCGCCUGUGACGAAGCGUGAGUGACGGUAAUGGGUAAAGAAGCACCGGCUAACUACGUG
rnacentral:rRNA from 1 species